CUGAGUCCUCUGACUCAAAAACUUUACCCAUCCAUUCCCCCCUUCUUAGUUCUGAGUUCUGACAUGACAUUCCCAUCCAAACCCAACAAAGUUCUGUCCCCUCUCUCUCUCUCAGCAUCAUCAUCCUGAAAGAAUCGCAAGUGUUUUUUUUUUAUCUUGCAGUUCAAAGCAGCUUCGUUUUUCUCCUCUCUGUCUCUCAGGGUUAGGUUGUACUUGUAUUAUAGAAUGAGUAGACCAACAACACGGAGUAAAAAUAAAAGACAGAAACAAGGGGAUGAUGGCAAUGGCACUAGUGAAAUAUGGAGGAAAAUUCAUAAUACAGGGGUGGUAUCCAAGGAUGACAUGAAUCAAUUGUAUAUGAUUUGGAAGCCAGUUUGUUCAGGCUGCCGUGUCAAUACCAAAGAUAACCCAAAUUGCUUCUGUGCAUUGGUUCCACCUCCAAAUGGAGCCCGGAAGUCUGGCUUAUGGCAAAAGAUGUCAGAUGUUGUUGAGAGUCUUGGCCAUGACCCAACCAAGGAUCUUCGAGCUUCUGCUGAUUCUCCUGCAGGUCUCACAAAUCUGGGAGCAACAUGCUAUGCCAACUGUAUACUCCAGUGCUUGUACAUGAAUAAAUCUUUCCGAGAAGGCAUGUUUUCUGUAGAACGAGAUGUUUUACAACAACACCCUGUGCUGGAUCAGCUGGCUCGACUUUUUGUGCAGUUGCAUAUUAGUAAAAUGGCUUUCAUAGAUUCUUCUCCAUUUGUAAAAACACUGGAAUUAGAUAAUGGAGUUCAGCAGGAUAGCCAUGAGUUCCUGACAUUGCUUCUCUCUUUGCUUGAGCGUUGUCUGAGCCAUUCCAAAGUGCCCAAGGCAACAACAAUAGUUCAAGAUCUUUUCCGAGGAAGUGUUUCUCAUGUGACGACGUGCUCACAAUGUGGAAGAGACUCUGAAGCUUCUUCCAAAAUGGAAGAUUUCUAUGAAUUGGAGUUGAAUGUCAAAGGAUUGAAAAGUUUAGAUGAGAGCCUAGAUGAAUAUCUCACUGCUGAAGAGCUUAAUGGGGACAAUCAAUAUUUUUGUGAGUCGUGUAAAACAAGAGUUGAUGCUACUCGCAGCAUCAAGCUGUGUACAUUACCCAAAGUACUUAAUUUUCAGCUUAAACGUUAUGUCUUCCUUCCUAAGACUACAACAAAGAAGAAAGUUACUUCUGCAUUUUCAUUUCCUGCUGAACUUGAUAUGCGGCAUAGAAUGUCUGAGUUGUCUCAGUUCAACUUGGUAUAUGACUUGUCAGCUGUACUGAUUCACAAGGGAACUGGUGCUAAUAGUGGCCAUUACAUUGCUCACAUCAAGGAUGUAAACACUGGGCAAUGGUGGGAAUUUGAUGAUGAGCAUGUUACUAAUUUGGGUUUUCAUCCAUUUGGUGAAGAGUCUUCAAGUUCUACUACUAAAUCCAUCAAGACUGAUGCAAUUCAUUCUGAUAAUUCUGAAGCAAUGGUAGCUGACAGUAAUGGAAAUGGUUUAAAUGCUACUCAUUCACUAUCUUCACAAGUGGAGACAUUUUUGUCUAGUGAUGCGUACAUGUUGAUGUACCAUCUUAAACAAACAAAAAAUGUUGGUGAAAGUGGGGGUGUAAUUUGUGGUGCUAACCAUAAAGAAAGCGAGGGUGUUGUAGUUGCUGUGCAAAAUGGUGUUCCUCUUCCAUCUCAUAUUUAUGAUGAGAUUCAAAGUUUCAAUGCCUCAUAUGAUGAUGCUUGUCAGCGGUACAAUAAUAGGAAAGAGUUAGAAUUGAGUCUUAUUAGUGAGAGAAGACAGGAAGUUCGAUCUGUUUUAGCUGAAGCUCCUGUUCAACCAUUGGAGCAGCCAUUUUAUUGGAUUUCUAGUGAAUGGCUUCGUCAAUGGGCAGACAACAUUAUUCCAAUUCCUCUUGACAACACGCCGGUCCAAUGCUCACAUGGGAAAGUCCCAGUUUCAAAGGUUACCUCAAUGAAGCGGUUGUCUGCUAAAGCAUGGGAUACAUUGUUCUCCAAGUAUGGUGGAGGACCAGCAUUGUCUCAUGAUAACCACUGUCGGGAUUGCCUGAUUCAUGGGGCUAUGACAGUGGUGUCAGCUGACACCUAUCGGGAUAGAAGAGAAUCAAUGAAGUCACUUGCACGGGAUAUUCUAGAUGGAAACUGCCUAGAUGGAAAGUAUUACAUAUCCAGACCAUGGUUGCAGCAGUGGUGGAAAAGAAAAGUCCUUGAUGCUCCAUCUGAAGCUGAUGCUGGACCAACAGCAGCCAUUAGUUGUCCACAUGGUCAAUUGAUGCCAGAGCAAGCUCCUGGUGCUAAGCGGGUGCUUAUUCCUGAGAUCUUUUGGCUCUUCUUAUAUGAAGAUGCUGUUUCUGUAAAGCCUGAUGAUCCUUUGGGUGGCCCAACUUUUUCUUCAGAUUCUGAUGAGUGUUCCCAAUGCAGUAAUGAAUUAUCUGAAGUAGCAUGCUUGGAGGACUCCUUGAGAUUAGUUAAACAAAAACAACGUCAGAAUCAUGAGAAAUUAUUCCAGGCUAAAAGUUUGCAACUUUCUCUGCACAGCAAGUAUUUCUUGGUGCCUUUGUCAUGGAUUUCAAAAUGGAGAAAUUACAUUAGUCCAACCCUGAAGAAUUCAGAUAAACCUGAAACCUUAGAUGGGGUAAUUGACUCACUGUUGUGUGAAAAGCACUCACGGCUAAUUGAAAGACCUCCUGAAUUGGUUUUCAGACGUGGUGCUAUAAUCCAGAGGGAAUCUUCUGCAGGUGGCUUAACCAUUGUAUCUGAGAAUGAUUGGAAAUGCUUCUGUGAAGAAUGGGGCGGUAUUGAGACCAAAGGAAUAUCAGCAACAAUUGAUCAUGUUAAUGAUUCAGAGAAUGUAUUGACUGGAUCCAGUGAAGAGAUGCAAGUAUGCAAGGAUCAGUUGAGCACAGCAGAUAAAAUGAAUUUUGAAAAUGGGACUGGACAAAAUUUAAUUAAGACUUGUCCUGAGGUUUGUGAAAGUUGCAUCGGAGAAAGGGAGAGCUGUGAGCUAAUGCAGAAGCUUAACUAUUGCAAUGAGGACAUAUGUGUAAUUCUUGUUCGUGGUAAGGAGGUACCCAGAUCAAUAUUGGAGGCUUCAAAGGGAUUCGUUGAAACAGAUCGGCGAGUUUCAAAACGUUCCCGCAAGUCUAAAAAUGGGAAUUCAAUUAGUCUAAAAGUUUCUGCUUCAACAUCUUUAUAUCAGCUGAAAAUGAUGAUAUGGGAAUCCUUUGGGGUUGUCAAGGAAAACCAGAUACUACAUAAAGGUGAUAGGAUAAUUGUUGGGGAUGAUGAAUGUGCUACCCUCGCAGAUGUGAACAUAUUUGCUGGAGAUCAGAUUAUAGUGAGGGACUCUGAGAUCCAUGAAAAUCGAGAUAUUGCUGAUGAGCUUUGUGAUGAUAAAAUGGAUCUGCAGCAUACCGAGGAAGGGUUCCGGGGAACACUUCUCACAGCAAAUGUUUCAUCCCAGUUGCAGGGGUAUUGAACUGUUAAAAAGUUUCUAAAUACAAUGUUUAUGACUUCAUGAAUUAUAGGAGCCUCCACCGAACCAUGAAUCCCAGCCAGAAUCUACUGGAUCUUAAACUCCUGCUAUAACAUGAUCACUAGCAAUGGAAGCAGUAGAUCAGGACCGGAUUCAGCGCUUGAAAUGACACUGCACAACCACAUCGCCCAUCUAAUUUAGAUGAUGUGAAGUAACCAAAGACCCUUUGUAUGCGAUAAGCUUAAGAAAAUUGUGUAUUUUUGCUUUUUGCAGACAGUCGAGUAUCCACGAUUGCUUUAAAUUUUAUCCAAUUCUUCUUGCAUCAUCAUAUUCAUCUUGUUGUAAUUAUAACCAGGUGUUAGUGAACAUUUGUGAGAAAAGUAUAAAUGUUAUUGAGUGAAAAGUACGUCGAGUCAUUUGUAGAA